AAAGCUUUAAGUUAAAAAAAACUAUUAACCUUCAAAGUUAAAAAUAUGUUAGAUAAAUAUGUAAGCUUUA
rnacentral:tRNA from 1 species